UAGACCUUUCAGGACCUUUCAAAACAAAGCAUGGGUCAGCAGUUAUUGUGGCUGAUGCCCAGCGGUGCCCAGGGCGCCCGAACUCUGUUUUCACCUCCGCCGAUGCCAUCCUCCACCGCCUGUAAGGGAUUCUUAUGAGCCUCCCCGGCCUUGGGAUUUGAUCUGAAGGAGCUUCUGAAGCUGGUUUAAACCAAACACAGUCAUUUGUCCACGUCUGAAGAUCAGCCGGUCAGGGAAACGUUCUUCUGGACAGAACUACAAAGAGCGAAGAUGUCGUUAAAGCGACGGCUGGUGUCUAUGUUGUUGUGCUGCGUUUACUGCGUGGCCUCGCUCUUCUGCUUACAUCCAGACCGGAACAACUGCUUCUCAGCGGGAACUCGGAAUCUGGUGUCUGUUUUCCAACAACUUUACCAGCGUGUCAUUCGGUUGCUGAGAACAACACUCUGAUUCCAGACUGCUUCCUGUGUUUGAGCCAGUAACCCUGGAUCAAACAUGCAAGUAUGGGUGUCAACUGCAAAGCCUCUGAGAAAGAAAGUAAAAAGAAGGAAAUAGAAACAAUGAGAGAGAAACUAUGUGUAACAAACAAUCUUGGACUGCUCAGUUUGCUCUAAAUCAUUCCUUAACGACCCGUUCUUUCUCUCUGCUGCUGCUGAUCCCUGGCUCAUAAAGAAAAUCUAUUUUUCUACUGACAACCUUAAUAUUGUGAAUGUGUGCCGUGUAACAUUCAAGUAGCUGGAAAAGACCCCAACAAUCCUCUUUUAGGUACAUUACUCCUCUGCAAAAAGCAAUGAAACCAGAAAGGUAUGGCUUCUAGUCUGUAAUGUAUGAAGAUGCAGGGGUCACUCCAGUAAUAACUACGAGGUUCCAAGUUAGCUUUGAGUGACUGGAAAAACUGAAUCUGAAUGUUGCUAAGAGGAAACCAUGACAGGUUGGUUGAUGAAGUUAUAAAACAAAAAGACAAUAGUAAAAGGUCUAGGACAGAAAGUAGGAAUGUAAGAAAAAAGAAAAUGUGUCAGGAAGAAAAAAAUAUGCUAAAGAGAAAGGAAGGACGUGCUAAAAAUCAAAGGAAAGAUGUACGACAGUCUGUCAGAAACAGUAGCUGUUUAAGAGGAACUGAGCAAACCCCAUGUGAUGUUUUCUGAAGAGUGAUUGUGUAGCCUCUUUUGCUCGUUACGGCACCCUGGCGCAAAUGGGUGGAACAUACCGGCCUGGGAGGCCACACCCACCUAAUGUCCAUCACAGUUAGUUAUUUUAGCUUUGGAUGACUUAAGCCGGGCAUAC